rnacentral:hammerhead_ribozyme from 1 species
AUCCAGCUGACGAGUCCCAAAUAGGACGAAAUACGCACCCUUGAU